rnacentral:rRNA from 1 species
CCCUUAGAUGUCCUGGGCUGCACGCGUGCUACAAUGAUACGUGCAACGAGUUAAUCCUGCUCUGAAAGGAGUGGGUAAUCUUAUGAAUGCGUAUCGUGCUUGGGAUUGACCAUUGUAAUUAUUGGUCAUGAACGAGGAAUUCCUAGUAAGCACAAGUCAUCAGCUUGUGCUGAUUACGUCCCUGCCCUUUGUACACACCGCCCGUCGCUCCUACCGAUUGAGUGUUCCGGUGAAUUAUUCGGACUGCAACAGUUAUCUGUCGCGGAAAGUCUUGUGAACCUUAACACUUAGAGGAAGGUGAAGUCGUAACA